UUAAAAUAAGAAAAUACACGUACGUAUGAAGAUGUAUGAAGAUGUUUUAGACAGAUAGUUAUGAUAUUCAGAAACAUAAAACCACUAGCUAGUCAAUCUCCAUUUUUAUAUGUUAAAUACAUGAAAGAAACCCAGUUUGUAUUGGAUAUAAACUCAUGAGAGAUCCGGAUAUUAAUACACCAAAACUGAAGUAAUUAAAAACAGGAAGCCAUUUUUUGUACACAGUAUAACAAACAGCUUAGAAAGCAUUGUUGGACUUUGUCUUAUACUACAAGGUAUAAUGCAUGGGCUCGUGGCAAAAUAAACUAGACAGACCACUUAGAUGUUGGGCCUGCCUUGGGCUAACCAAAUUUUAAUCAUUUGACAUUUUUAUAUAGGCUUUUAUUAUAGGAUCAAGGUGCUGCCCUGCCCUGCCCUGCGCUGCCCUCUUAUUUAUCUCAAUUUUCAAGAAGCGACAAAAUGCUAAAUUGCCCGAAUAGAUUUAACUCAAAAGUUCCGCUUCUUCUUCUACUUCUACUUCUCCAGAUGUUGAGCACAAUAAGGACUCUACUCUACACACCCAAACAUAGUUUAUUUGGAUUAAAUAAUAUCAAUGUUUAAUAAACUCUUUUAUUGGAAAGAAUAAUAUCAACACAUAUAUCUUAAGCUAACCAUAAACUGUAAAAAAAAAAAACUCAAGGUGAAAUAAAAUUCUCAGUUCUUAUCUCGAAGGUUAAUGUAUGUGCUUUCUCUUUUAUUUUAUUCUCUCU
rnacentral:lncRNA from 1 species